rnacentral:rRNA from 1 species
GCUAACUACGUGCCAGCAGCCGCGGUAAUACGUAGGGUGCAAGCAUUGUCCGGAUUUAUUGGGCGUAAAGAGCUCGUAGGCGGCUUGUCACGUCGGAUGUGAAAACUCGGGGCUCAACCCCGAGCCUGCAUUCGAUACGGGCUAGCUAGAGUGUUGCAGGGGAGACUGGAAUUCCUGGUGUAGCGGUGAAAUGCGCAGAUAUCAGGAGGAACACCGGUGGCGAAGGCGGGUCUCUGGGCAACUACUGACGCUGAGGAGCGAAAGCGUGGGGAGCGAACAGGAUUAGAUACCCUUGUAGUC